UGGGGAAUAUUGCGCAAUGGGCGAAAGCCUGACGCAGCAACGCCGUGUGAGGGAUGAAGGCUUUCGGGUCGUAAACCUCUGUCGGAAGGGAAGAACGGGCAUUGGUCUAAUAGGCCUUUGUUUUUACGGUACCUUUAGAGGAAGCACCGGCUAACUCCGUGCCAGCAGCCGCGGUAAUACGGAGGGUUCAAGCGUUAUUCGGAAUUACUGGUCGUAAAGCGCACGUAGGCCGCUUUUUAAGUCAGGGGUGAAAUCCCACGGCUCAACCGUGGAACUGCCCUUGAAACUGCAGAGCUUGAAUCAUGGAGAGGGUGGCGGAAUUCCUGGUGUAGGAGUGAAAUCCGUAGAUAUCAGGAGGAACACCGGUGGCGAAGGCGGCCACCUGGACAGGCAUUGACGCUGAGGUGCGGAAGUGUGGGGAGCAAACAG
rnacentral:rRNA from 1 species